GGAUGGGCGCCCUGGACGUGUGCCCCUUCAUCCCUGUGAGGGGCGUCAGCAUGGAUGAGUGUGUGCUCUGUGCCCAGGCCUUCGGUCAGCGGCUGGCCGAGGGGCUGGGUGUGCCAGGUGAGUGCCCCGAAAGGGACACUGCAGGGCAGGGGCUCCCCCUCACUGCACCGCGGCGCCCUCAGGUUCUCUGCAGAUAGAAGCCGGGUGCGGUGUGUGCAGUGCGUGGCCUGGCCGUUGAGAAGCACUGGAUGCCGCUUAGCUGCUCCGAAAAGUCAAGUCCAUGCUUCCUAAUGGAAUAAUUUCACCUUGGGGAAUUAACCAAAUCAAGAAAUUAUUAACCUGAGACAAACGGGGGGCGUCUACACUCACGGGGCAUGGGCUCAGGCAGACGGGGUGCGUGAGGGCAGGGCCUAAGCCCCACCCCCUGCGGGUACAGGCCAGUGUUCCACGCUCUCAUCAUUGUCGUGGGGAUAUUGGAGUCGGGGUGAGUUUUGUUUUCUUUUCUCUGUGUUUCUUAAUUUGCGGGCCUAUUUAUUGUACAAUGAAAAUACACUUUAGAAAGAAAGGUGAACAUGCUUCCAUCCCGAACGUCUACUUCUAACUCUUAGCAUCUCGGUGAUGGCUUUUUCGGGGGCAUCUGUGCAGGGGGAGCAGCAGGGGGGGCUACCCUGGCCCUGGGUGGGCAGAGGAGUGUCCAUCAGCGACCACCCACACCCAUCCGAUGAGGCGCAGAGAGAUAGGAGCCAAGGGAGAGGGAGGUUGGUCCCCCAGGCUGAGCCUGGCAGGAGCGGCUGCCUCGUUUCUCCUCCAGGAGUGGGGCUUCUGGGCGGCCCACCGGCUGGGACCCUGACCAGCCUGGCCCCCUUGCAGUGUACCUCUAUGGCGAGGCGGCGCGCACAGCCAGUCGCCGGACCCUGCCUGCCAUCCGGGCUGGGGAGUACGAGGCCCUCCCUGAGAAGCUCAAGCAGGCUGAGUGGGUGCCCGACUUCGGCCCCAGCUCCUUUGUCCCCAGCUGGGGGGCCACUGUCACGGGGGCACGGAAGUUCCUCAUUGCGUUCAACAUCAACCUGCUCAGCACCAAGGAGCAGGCCCACCGCAUCGCCCUCAACAUUCGGGAGCAGGGGCGUGGGAAGGACAAGCCAGGACGCCUGGAAAAGGUUCAGGGCAUUGGCUGGUACCUGGAUGAGAAGAACCUGGCCCAAGUGUCCACAAACCUCUUGGACUUUGAGGUCACAGCACUGCAUACGGUCUACGAGGAGACCUGCAGAGAAGCCCAGGUGAGCAGGGCGGUGUCCCCUGCUGGCCGGGGCGAAGUCCCUGCAGG